GACGAACCGUGCGAACGUUGUUCGGAAUCACUGGGCUUAAAGGGCGCGUAGGCGGGCCCGCCAGCCCGCGGUGAAAGCCCCCGGCUCAACCGGGGAACGGCCGCGGGGACUGCGGGCCUCGAGGGGGGUAGGGGCGCGCGGAACGCCGGGUGGAGCGGUGAAAUGCGUUGAUAUCCGGCGGAACUCCGGUGGCGAAAGCGGCGCGCUGGGCCCCGCCUGACGCUGAGGCGCGAAAGCCAGGGGAGCGAACGGG
rnacentral:rRNA from 1 species